rnacentral:lncRNA from 1 species
AUGCUGCUUGCUCUUCAGGCCACAUCUGCCCCUUCCCACAGCUGGUGGAACUGGCACCAUGUCUUCCACCUCUCUCCCCGCCUCCGCCCUUGGUGGAGCCGAGUUUUCUUCAUUCCAAAGCCGUGGAACAUGACGUGCCAUCACAACUGGGAUGCGAGAAGAGUAAUAACCCCCAGCCGUGGUCCACGUUGUCCUCGGUGCACAGCGGGAGGCGCCUGCCCCGCUUCUCAGCUGCGAGGGGGGAGAGGCGCAUUCACGCGGGUCGUCCUGGGAACAGCCUUCCAGAUGCCACCUGUCGUCCCUGCCCGGGAGCUCCUCACGGGCCGCACUCAGACUGAGACAGGGCUUUGCAUCCCCAUCAUCAGCUCAGUGUUGGCUCUGCGCCCCCAGCACAGACCACUGCCAGAGGCGACUGGGAACGUGACCCGGGCUCUCGGAGCCCAGAAGCCCUCUCACCCCCAAGGGCGAAGGGCGCCGUCCCCACAGCUCCGGCCGUGGUUCAGGAGCUCUGCCCCUCGGCGGUGCUGUCGUCAGAGAUCGGAGGGGCCGGGCAGGAGACGGGCAGCGGCCCCAUUUACAGUCCCCACAACUGCAGCUUGGAGGAGGGGGAGGGGACUGGGGGGGAGGCAGGCUUCCCCAGGGGCCCUCCUUUCCGGGCGAAGUUGCCCAGGCCUUCUGGGGAAGGCUGCGCUGUCCUUCCUCGUGAGGGAGCAGGCUUGUGUGCACGUUCCCUGUAAAGCCUUAAUUUUCAAUGAACGCCCUGGUGUCCCAGGACGCGAACUCCAUCCUCCUCCGCCGUCCUCGUCUUUGUCUUGCUCUUUUGUGCCCUGUGCCUUGCAAACAGAUGCGUUUCUUUCCGGAGGAGAAGGCAGGUCUUCAUCCUCCAGAGAAAAGCUGGGCCUUGGAAUGUGGACCAGACGCCCCCCAUGGCCUUGGAGAAAGUCCCGUCAGAGAACUCCCAGUGAGCCUCCCGCUGGGUCUUCAGCUGACUUCAUUCUUUCUCCUUGA